rnacentral:snoRNA from 1 species
CCUUUGGAUGAUGAAGCACUUGUCUCCCACAUCUGCAACGACCUCGACUUCGAGUACAACCCGGUGGUGAUAGCAGUUGCCGCAAGGGUUUAGGCGAUCUCGAUCCCUGAGCUCUACUCUCAAUUGCUCAGCUUCGAGA